rnacentral:rRNA from 1 species
UACGUAGGGCGCAAGCGUUAUCCGGAAUUAUUGGGCGUAAAAGAGCUCGUAGGCGGUUUGUCGCGUCUGCCGUGAAAGUCCGGGGCUCAACUCCGGAUCUGCGGUGGGUACGGGGCAGACUAGAGUGAUGUAGGGGGAGACUGGAAUUCCUGGUGUAGCGGUGGAAUGCGCAGAUAUCAGGAGGAACACCGGUGGCGAAGGCGGGUCUCUGGGCAGUAACUGACGUGAGGAGCGAAAGCGUGGGGAGCGAACAGG